UGCGUAGGCGGUUAGUUAAGUCUGUUGUGAAAUCCCUGGGCUCAACCUGGGAAUGGCAAUGGAUACUGGCUAGCUAGAGUGUGUCAGAGGAUGGUGGAAUUUCCGGUGUAGCGGUGAAAUGCGUAGAGAUCGGAAGGAACAUCAGUGGCGAAGGCGGCCAUCUGGGACAACACUGACGCUGAAGCACGAAAGCGUGGGGGAGCAAACA
rnacentral:rRNA from 1 species